GGACGGGUGAGUAAAGCCUAGGAAUCUGCCUGGUAGUGGGGGAUAACGUUCGGAAACGGACGCUAAUACCGCAUACGUCCUACGGGAGAAAGCAGGGGACCUUCGGGCCUUGCGCUAUCAGAUGAGCCUAGGUCGGAUUAGCUAGUUGGUGAGGUAAUGGCUCACCAAGGCGACGAUCCGUAACUGGUCUGAGAGGAUGAUCAGUCACACUGGAACUGAGACACGGUCCAGACUCCUACGGGAGGCAGCAGUGGGGAAUAUUGGACAAUGGGCGAAAGCCUGAUCCAGCCAUGCCGCGUGUGUGAAGAAGGUCUUCGGAUUGUAAAGCACUUUAAGUUGGGAGGA
rnacentral:rRNA from 1 species